AUUGAACGCUGGCGGCAGGCCUAACACAUGCAAGUCGAACGAGUGGCGGACGGGUGAGUAAUGUCUGGGAAACUGCCCGAUGGAGGGGGAUAACUACUGGAAACGGUAGCUUAUACCGCAUACCAUCGGAUGUGCCCAGCUGGGAUUAGCUGGUGGGUGGGGUAACGGCUCACCUAGGCGACGAUCCCUAGCGGGUCUGAGAGGAGGACCAGCCACACUGGAACUGAGACACGGUCCAGACUCCUACGGAGGGCAGCGGUGGGGAAUAUUGCACAAUGGGCGCAAGCCUGAUGCAGCCAUGCCGGGUGUAUGAAGAAGGCCUUCGGGUUGUAAAGUACUUUCAGCGGGGAGGCGUUACCCGCAGAGGAAGCACCGGCUAACUCCGUGCCAGCAGCCGCGGUAAUUC
rnacentral:rRNA from 1 species